rnacentral:misc_RNA from 1 species
GAUGUAGAACGCAGCGAAAUGCGAUAAGUAAUGUGAAUUGCAGAAUUCAGUGAAUCAUCGAAUCUUUGAACGCACAUUGCGCCCGCCAGCAUUCUGGCGGGCAUGCCUGUUCGAGCGUCAUUUCAACCCUCGAGCCCCCCCGGGGGCCUCGGUGUUGGGGGACGGCACACCAGCCGCCCCCGAAAUGCAGUGGCGACCCCGCCGCAGCCUCCCCUGCGUAGUAGCACACACCUCGCACCGGAGCGCGGAGGCGGUCACGCCGUAAAACGCCCAACUUUCUUAGAGUUGACCUCGGAUCAGGUAGGAAUACCCGCUGAACUUAAGCAUAUCAAUAAGCGGAGGA